UACGUAGGGUGCAAGCGUUGUCCGGAAUUAUUGGGCGUAAAGAGCUUGUAGGCGGUCUGUCGCGUCGGCUGUGAAAACCCGAGGCUCAACCUCGGGCCUGCAGUCGAUACGGGCAAACUGGAGUGUUGCAGGGGAGACUGGAAUUCCUGGUGUAGCGGUGAAAUGCGCAGAUAUCAGGAGGAACACCGGUGGCGAAGGCGGGUCUCUGGGCAACAACUGACGCUGAGGAGCGAAAGCGUGGGGAGCGAACAGG
rnacentral:rRNA from 1 species